UCAUUUUUUAGUGGAAUUAUUGAUUGUACAGAACCUUUUCCAUAGCUAUUUUCUCCAAUUAUGAUUGCUCUUUUAUGAUCUUUUAAUGCUCCAGCAACAAUUUCAGAUGCUGAUGCUGAUCCAUAGUUAGUUAAUACAAUUAUUGGUUUUCCAUUUGUUAGAUCACCUUUUUUUGCAAACCAUUUUCUAUUAUCAAAAUUCUUUCUACCUCUUGUAGAUACUAUUUCACCGUCAUUUAAAAAAAAAUCUGAAAUUUUUAUUGCUUGAGAUAAUAAUCCUCCAGGAUUAUUUCUUA
rnacentral:ncRNA from 1 species